AUACGUAGGGUGCAAGCGUUAAUCGGAAUUACUGGGCGUAAAGCGUGCGCAGGCGGUUUUGUAAGACAGUGGUGAAAUCCCCGGGCUCAACCUGGGAACUGCCAUUGUGACUGCAAGGCUGGAGUGCGGCAGAGGGGGAUGGAAUUCCGCGUGUAGCAGUGAAAUGCGUAGAUAUGCGGAGGAACACCGAUGGCGAAGGCAAUCCCCUGGGCCUGCACUGACGCUCUUGCACGAAAGCGUGGGGAGCAAACAGGAUUAGAUACCCUGGUAGUCCACGCCCUAAACGAUGUCAACUGGUUGUUGGGGAUUUAUUUUCUCAGUAACGAAGCUAACGCGUGAAGUUGACCGCCUGGGGAGUACGGCCGCAAGGUUAAAACUCAAAUGAAUUGACGGGG
rnacentral:rRNA from 1 species